GCACUCGGUUUGGCAGCAUAUAUACUAAAAUUGGAACAAUACAAAGAUUAGCAUGGCCCCUGCGCAAGGAUAACACGCAAAUUAGUGAAGCGUUUCAUAAACAA